rnacentral:rRNA from 1 species
CGAACGCUGGCGGCGUGCUUAAUACAUGCAAGUCAACUUGACUUUAGAUAGCAAUAUCGAAAAGUAGGGUGGCGCACGGGUGCGUAACGCGUAGGUAAUCUGCCCUGAGGUCUGACAUAACCCGUCGAAAGGCGGGCUAACAUCAGAUGAUAUAUAAUCACGACAUCGUGGAAAUAUCAAAUCUUCGGAGCCUUGGGAUGAGCCUGCGUCUGAUUAGGUAGUUGGCGGAGUAAUAGCCCACCAAGCCUACGAUCAGUAGCUGGUCUGAGAGGAUGAUCAGCCACACUGGAACUGAGACACGGUCCAGACUCCUACGGGAGGCAGCAGUAAGGAAUAUUGCUCAAUGGAGGAAACCCUGAAGCAGCAACGCCGCGUGAAGGAUGAAAUACUUUGUAUGUAAACUUCUGUAAGAUGGGAAAAAUAUUCUCCUCGGGAGAAUUGAUUGUACCAUCAGAGUAAGCCCCGGCUAACUACGUG